rnacentral:rRNA from 1 species
AUUGAACGCUGGCGGCAGGCCUAACACAUGCAAGUCGAGCGAGCGGCGGACGGGUGCGUAAUGUCUGGGAAACUGCCUGAUGGAGGGGGAUAACUACUGGAAACGGUAGCUAAUACCGCAUACCAUCAGAUGUGCCCAGAUGGGAUUAGCUAGUAGGGGGGGUAACGGCUCACCUAGGCGACGAUCCCUAGCUGGUCUGAGAGGAUGACCAGCCACAGUGGAACUGAGACACGGUCCAGACUCCUACGGGAGGCAGCAGUGGGGAAUCUUCCGCAAUGGACGAAAGUCUGACGGAGCAACGCCGCGUGUAUGAAGAAGGCAUUCGGGUUGUAAAGGACUUUCAGCGGGGAGGCGUUACCCGCAGAAGAAGCACCGGCUAACUCCGUGCCAGCAGCCGCGGUAAUAC